rnacentral:rRNA from 1 species
UACGAGGGGGGCAAAUGUUGUUCGGAAUCACUGGGCGUAAAGGGAGCGUAGGCGGGUUCUUAAGUUAGGUGUUUAAUCCCGGGGCCCAACCCCGGACCGGCACUUAAACUGGAAUCGUGAAUAGUGGAGAGGUCGGUGGAAUUGGGGGUGUAGCGGUGGAAUGCGUAGAGAUCCCCAAGAACACCAGUUGCGAAGGCGGCCGACUGGACACAUAUUGACGCUGAGGCUCGAAAGCAUGGGGAGCAAACAGG